rnacentral:rRNA from 1 species
CCCGAGCAGAACGACCCGCGAACCAGUGAUGCUACGUGCGAGGGGGGGCAAGGGGAAAGGGCGCGGGCCCUGCACCUUAUGCUCCCCUUCUCCGGGCCGCGGGAUCGUGUCGACCUCGAUCGACCCCGCGGAUCCCGAUUGAACAACGAAUCCCGGCGCGAUCGGCGCCAAGGAAAUUUUAACGGAAUGGGCGUGUUCUCGGUGGUACAUUCCUUGCCUCUCCCUCUGCGGAGGGGUGGGUGUUGUCCUCGAGACGUCGUCGCGUGUCCGAUAUUUUGAACGACUCUCGGCAACGGAUAUCUCGGCUCUCGCAUCGAUGAAGAACGUAGCGAAAUGCGAUACUUGGUGUGAAUUGCAGAAUCCCGUGAACCAUCGAGUCUUUGAACGCAAGUUGCGCCCUAGGCCAUCCGGCCGAGGGCACGCCUGCCUGGGCGUCACGCACCCCGUCGCACCCCGUGCCCUCUCUGUCUGGCGGAGCAGGAGAGCGGAGAUUGGCCCCCCGUGCCCCUCGUCGCGCGGUCGGCCCAAAAACAGGACCAUGGUGGCGAGCGUCACGAUCAGUGGUGGUUGACAAAAUAACCCCUGAGCCGAUGUCGGACGUCGUGUGCGCUGCGUUGCCUUCUGGACCCUCGGAACCCUGCCGCUCGGACGGCACCAAUCGCUCUGCGACCCCAGGUCAGGCGGGGCCACC